UGGGGAAUAUUGCACAAUGGGCGCAAGCCUGAUGCAGCCAUGCCGCGUGUAUGAAGAAGGCCUUCGGGUUGUAAAGUACUUUCAGCGGAGAGGAAGGCGUUGUGGUUAAUAACCACAGCGAUUGACGUUACCCGCAGAAGAAGCACCGGCUAACUCCGUGCCAGCAGCCGCGGUAAUACGGAGGGUGCAAGCGUUAAUCGGAAUUACUGGGCGUAAAGCGCACGCAGGCGGUCUGUUAAGUCAGAUGUGAAAUCCCCGGGCUCAACCUGGGAACUGCAUUUGAAACUGGCAGGCUUGAGUCUCGUAGAGGGGGGUAGAAUUCCAGGUGUAGCGGUGAAAUGCGUAGAGAUCUGGAGGAAUACCGGUGGCGAAGGCGGCCCCCUGGACGAAGACUGACGCUCAGGUGCGAAAGCGUGGGGAGCAAACA
rnacentral:rRNA from 1 species